ACUGGCGCUACUGGGGCCAGCGGGGGCGGUGGCCCCAUCAACCCGGCCUCGCUGCCUCCCGGCGACCCGCAGCUCAUCGCUCUCAUCGUGGAGCAGCUCAAGAGCCGGGGCCUUUUUGACAGCUUCCGCCGGGACUGCCUGGCCGACGUGGACACCAAGCCAGCUUACCAAAACCUGAGGCAGAAAGUGGAUAAUUUUGUGUCAACACAUCUGGACAAGCAGGAAUGGAAUCCUACGAUGAACAAAAACCAGUUGCGAAAUGGUCUGAGGCAGAGUGUGGUUCAGUAAGUUGGGUGAUUGUGGGUGAGAUUGUGCAGUAGGAAUAACAGCUGCUGGUUGAGAAUUACCCCUCAAAAGUGAAAAUAGCGUGAGCUGUAUAUGGUCAGGGAUGUUGGAAGCUGGAGUAGACAGGAUUAUUUCUCAGGUGGUGGAUCCAAAACUUAACCACAUCUUCAGGCCACAAAUAGAACGAGCAAUUCAUGAGUUCCUGGCGGCCCAGAAAAAAGCAGCUGUGCCAGCACCCCCUCCAGAGCCCGAAGGCCAGGACCCUCCAGCUCCAUCUCAGGACACUUCCUAAGAAUACGCCAGACACCUUUUGAAAGCUAAUUUUUGGUGAAGAAAUGGAUUCGGUUACAUAAGAGUGCAACUUCAGACUGAAGAUAGGCCAAGGUCGUCACUGAUCUCAAGAUUUCAACCUUGACCAUGGGCAGUGACCAGAUUGAAAGGGGAGCAAGUUCGGCAGUGGGAGAGUUGACCGUGUCACCCCCUGCAUUGUGCUGCCAUUUGGCCAGCCUGUCCAAGGGCAUGACACCAAGUAGACACUACAGAGAGAGAAACACUACAGCAACCCAGGGUUGUCCUGAAACAGACUUUUAUACUUGAACAUGGAGACUGCACAUGGACUUUAGGGUUUGUGCUGUGGGAUAAACGGAAGCUACAGUGAGAACAUAGCCAGUCCCAAAGACAAUUUCAAAGAAAAAUGACAGUAAAGAUUAGCUGGGAGUAGUCUUUGACAGUGCUUAUUUGAUACUGUCUCUCAGAGUUUGCAAACCAGAUUGUACAAGUCAUUAGC
rnacentral:lncRNA from 1 species